CAAUGACUGUUGCUCUGGAAGAUGCCAUCGCAAAACCAAAUGGCAACGGCAGAUUUAACUUUGCUAGAGAGGAAAAUAACCAGGCUCACUUCCUUGAAACUCCAGGGCGAAAAGAUCGCUCCAAAGAGAAAUGAUCUUAAAAGAGAUGUUCCUUAUACAAAAAAGCAGAAGAUUGGCCCCAAAACGUAUCGGCCCAGGAACGUAUCAGCCAACAUCCAUGUCCACCUCUGGACAGGAAGCAUAAACAAUACGGUGAGAGACUGCAAAAUGAUGGCAGUCAAGGUGAGAACUCUGCAGACAAAUUGCAGGAGGAAUUUAUACCAAAGGCAAACAAGAGGUGCAGAGGCUUGCCCGUAUUCCCACUAUCUCUGCACACAAAAAGCCUUUCAGCCACCAAUGCAAAUGGGAAAAAGCAGGCUCAGCCCAGCUGUGCUCCAGCCCCAACUUUGGCUGCCCAACAGCACAAGACUAAGGAAAGCUGCAAGACAGACGGACUGAAUGCAGAGGAGAGCUUCCAACUGGAACCUCCAUUGAAGAAACAGGCAGAGUGCAAGAAACUGCCAGGGAAACGUAAAUGUAAAACAAUGCAACUGAAAGUGCAGGGGAGCAGAAAGAGAUCAUUCCUGACAAUGGAUGACCCCUUUGACAUUGAAAACACCCACGCUGUGGUCGCAGUACCAAGGAAGGUGAUGAAGCAAGCAGAGCCCACUUUGCACUGCGGCUCCUUGCCUGCCUGUAAGAGAUUAUUCUUUUGCACCAUUGUCUCAAAGCUUGCUGAGAAAUACUGAUGGACACAUCCUGGUCAAGGGCUGAGAAAUCAUCUGUCUAAAGGAUUACUCACAAGUCCUGGCAAGUCCUGGUCAAGGUGGCCAAAAUCUUUCAUCUGAAGAUUUGCAGGACAGGGGCAACCAGAGAGAGAUGAGUAGCAGUUUAAUGGCCAGGAAGCAGUCAUUUGUGUGGGCUUAUCUUGAGGGAGACAGCCAUCUCAAGUGGCACUCACAUGACUUUUACCCAGGCGCCCGGGAAUGCCACUUUGACAGAAGAAGGAUAUAAAAAAGGGACCAGCAGCCAAGCAGCAAGGUGGCUGACAUCAGAUGCCUCUCGACGUGAUGCCUGCCUGCUGACGGACUCUUCUGGGCCUGCUACCUGAGACCUGCCUCUUCCUCCUGGACUUGCUGUCACUGGACCUGCGUGCUGCCUAAGACUGGCCACUCUGCUGCUGCUCUCCCCCUGCAACUUUGCCUCGGACCAUCAGAACAGCAUGCAAUGGGACAUUGCUGGAUCUUGAUGGUGACUAUCUCUGCUUUCCGUAAUUCUUGCUUCUUUCCUAUCUUUCCUAUUGCCCGCUUUCCCUUCCCCACCACCCCAAUUCAUAAUAGUUG
ensembl:lncRNA